rnacentral:rRNA from 1 species
CGUCUAUAUACGUAUAGCAUAUCAAUAAGCGGAGGAAAAGAAACUAACAAGGAUUCCCUUAGUAACGGCGAGUGAAGCGGGAAGAGCUCAAAUUUGAAAUCUUCAAGGUUUUACCUUGACGAAUUGUAGUUUAAAGAAGUGUUUUCUGUUGAAGUUUCGGUAAAAGUUCUUUGGAAUAGGACAUCAUAGAGGGUGAGAAUCCCGUAUUUGACCGUUAUUUUCAGCUGUGUGAUACACUUUCAAAGAGUCGGAUUGUUUGGGAAUGCAGUCCAAAAUGGGUGGUAAAUUUCAUCUAAAGCUAAAUAUUGGCGAGAGACCGAUAGCGAACAAGUACCGUGAGGGAAAGAUGAAAAGAACUUUGAAAAGAGAGUUAAACAGUACGUGAAAUUGUCAAAAGGGAAGCGUUUGACACCAGUGUUGUUUUCUCGAAAAUCAAUUAAAAAUGGCGGGAUGUUGUGUUGUAUUGACUUUAUCAGCUUUCUGCACUUUUUUCCUGUCUUUUUUAAUGCACUUUUCGUUUAACAAGUCAACAUCAAUUUCUUUUGUUGUAAAAGGGUCAUUGGAAGGUGGCUUUCUUUUCGGAGAAAGUGUUUAUAGCCUUUGACUUCUGCAAUCGGAGAGAUUGAGGUCUGCAGCGUAGAUCCUUCGGGGUUAGAUGCAUUUGUGCUAAGUUAUAGCCUUUCAUAGACAACUUGUUGACUAUGAUCAGUCAUGUAGCUUACUCGCUUAUGUCAUUUUACCUACGCUUAGGAUGUUGACGAUCAGCUGAGCGCG